rnacentral:rRNA from 1 species
AAUCUAUCGUGCAAACACCGAGAACCUACUUAUGCCCUCUCACAAGCGGUAGCUCCCCUUGGGAGUUGCCUUUGUGAGUGCGCAGGUCAGGGGCUGGCUCCUUUUGGUGUCAGUUGACUUGACUGGGCGGGUCCAAUAUCAAUUGGGGUCCUGUCUGCCUUUUAGGCGGUCAGGUCUACCGGUUGUGAGGGGUGGCUUUCAACAACCUCAAAACUAUUUUCUGAAGACAGUUCUACUGGCUGGCUUUGUCGGCUGUAGACUGAAUAACUAAAGACAACUCUCAACAACGGAUAUCUUUGGCUCCC